rnacentral:lncRNA from 1 species
UCCCUCCCUAGUCUCUUUUCUCCCCUCCCCUCCCCUCCCCUCCCCUCCUCCUCUCCUGUUCCUUUUCCCCUCUCCUCUCCUCCUCUCUUCCUCUCCUCCCUCUCCCUUCCUCCCUCCCCCCCUCUCCCUUUCCUCUCCCCUCUCCUCCAUUUCUUCCUUCCCCUGUUCCUCUCCUCUCUUCUCCCGAGGCCUUUCCUUCCUUACCCUCCUUCUCCCCACUUCCCUACCCCCCACCUCUCCCCUGCCCUCUCCUCUUCCCCUCUCUCCCCCCUCCCCUGCGCCUCUGUCGGCUGUGCCUGGAGCCCACACUGACACAUCUUGUACUUCCCGUUUCCAGGGAAAUUCCUUGCCCACUCGACCACACCCGCCCUCGAGGACCUGCCCAUCUCUUUGGGCAGAGCAGAGGCCAGACAGGGACCUGGAUUGUGAGGCGACACCCCCCUGCUGGGUGUGUGCCGGGAGCCUUCGAGGGGCAGGACAGCUCCCCUACCCCGGAGCCUGACUUGGGUUACAGGAGGAGGUCGUUCAGAUUCUGGGCUUCCCCCAUCCUUUGGCCUGCAGAGCAAAAAGCCGAGCUUCCAGGAGAGGUAUGA